CUUACAUAUCAUAAGUUGCAAAAUUGUGACAAUAGUCACAAAAGUACAUCAGUUCUGUGAACCAAAUAGUUGUGCUUGCAUAGAUUUGCAUUGGAAGUGUAAGUGCAACUGUUUUCCCGACAAAAAAAUGAGGGGGAGAAUUAUCCUUACAGUCCUUUAAGAGUCUCUUAUGGAGUGUCAUACGCUUUAAAUCUUGAUCAGCUACAACAAUUCUUAACGUGUGAGUUCAAGCUGACUCCACUCUAUACUGCUGCUCAUUCAAUCUUUUUCAGUACUAUUUCAAAUACAGUUUUCAGGGGAGGAGUUUGUUUGAGACAUGUUUUGUGUGACAAGGGAAGAACAGAAAGUUUAGUUGAACAUCAGUUUAUGCUGAGCAAAAACACCACCAUCAUCAACAUGUUGCUCUGUUUAACUGCUUUGAUUUGUUCACUUAUAUGUGGCAGUUUUGCGAAUGUCAUCACUCCAGUCCAGACUGAGGUUUAUAAGAAAGAGGGAGAAAAUGUUACUCUGUCCUGUAACUACUCCUCAGCAUCCACACUGCAGUGGUAUCUCCAGUAUCCCGGAUCAGCUCCUGAAUUUCUUUUGAUAAUAUUACCUUCUACAGGAAAAGUUUCACAAAAGUCAGAAAUUGUGGAGCGAGAUCCUCGAUUCUCUGGGAAAGUGAAUGAAGAGAAAACCCAUGUGGCUCUGGAGAUCUCCUCUGCUAAAGUGACAGACUCUGGAACUUACUACUGUGCCAUGGUGCCCACAGUGACAGGAAACACAAGAACUCUGUACAAAAACCCUCAUACUGUAGUUGAAUGUUGUUUGUAGUUGUAUGUAGUUUAAUGAAUCUUCAUAAAAUAUUUGAAAAAAAACUUCUACAUGUUUGAAAUACAUAUUUUUCAAUCAGUCAGUAUUGACAAAACGGAAUCAUAAGAACACUAUUCAAAUGCAUAACUCAUCAAGUUCUUAAGAUUUUAGAAAUAGUUACAUAAAGUACCCUGACAAGAUGUAUGGCUUUCAUGUACAGAAGUAAAGUUCUAUAAAAUUAUGCUCAGCUGAAGUACAAUACUUUCAUGAUAUUACAUCGCCACCUGCUGGAAGUCUUAGGAACAGAAAACGUUGAUCUUUUUGUUAUUUUUAAGACCUACAAGUUUCAGUGCAGACGUUGUGUGACAAGCAGUCAAGAGAAUUUGUACUUCCUGUUUUCGCAUCCACCCCGUGAUAUUUAAAGAUCAACCUCUCAAGAAACUCCUCACAUAAAGACUUUUCUGAUGCAAUCAUGGAAAGAGUCCAAAUUCUAAGUCAACAGUUGGAAAAAUAUCUACUGCUGUUCUUUCUUACAGCAUCAGGUACAAUCCACAAUUAUGAUACAUUUGUAUGAUUAUUCAGAUCUUUAAAUAUAUACACAUCUUAAUAGUGAAAUUGUAUUUUAUUAAAAACAUUUUCUUUCAGGUGUAAUCUGUCAAGACUGGAUUCGACCAAGUGACGAGAGGACCAGUGUUACCAGUACAGAAGGAGAUUCUGUAACACUGGAGUGUUCAUAUGACACAAGCAGCAGCUAUGUUAUCCUUUAUUGGUACAGAGAGUUUUCUAACACACAGCCUCAAUAUAUACUGCUUAAAGGUGGACGAUCAGAGACAUAUCAGAACAUACCAGACCCCCAACGAUUUACAUCAACUACAUCCCAGAAAUCCACCUCACUGACCAUUAAGAGUGUAACUCUGUCAGAUUCGGCUUUCUAUUACUGUGCUCUAAGAGUAACAGCCCAGUGAUACAAAGUGCCUGACAGGCUUUACAAAAACUUACUAAGAAAACUCGCUUUGAACAGUGAGUUAUCAAAUGAAUAACAAACCACAUUUGUGUCUUUAUAAACCACAUAGUCAAAUUGCAAGAUUUGGUAACACCUGCAGCAAAUAAUUAUACAGCUUCAUGUAGCUGCAGUAAGUGAGAGCUGAUGUAAAUCGGAUAAUUUUAGUGAUUAAAUAAUUAAUAAGCUUUAUAUAUUAUCAACACAGCUCUUUAGCAUGGAUUAUUAACAGGACAUUAAUUUACAUUUUAGACACAACUCAAAUAGUUCCAAUCGAAGCCACAAAAGAAUCACUGCAUCUCCCAGAAACACACAAUUAGGGGUGUUUGUGUUUUUGAACGAAUGAUUGUCAAAAAAAAACACUCAUUAAAAAACAUUUGCUUGUUUCAUUCAUGAAUAAAUCCGAGCUAUUGAAUGAAUGAAUCUAAAGA
ensembl:lncRNA